CCUACGGGAGGCAGCAGUGGGGAAUAUUGCACAAUGGGGGAAACCCUGAUGCAGCGACGCCGCGUGAGUGAAGAAGUAUUUCGGUACGUAAAGCUCUAUCAGCAGGGAAGAAAAUGACGGUACCUGACUAAGAAGCCUCGGCUAACUACGUGCCAGCAGCCGCGGUAAUACGUAGGGGGCAAGCGUUAUCCGGAUUUACUGGGUGUAAAGGGAGCGUAGACGGCAGCGCAAGUCUGGAGUGAAAUCCCAUGGCUUAACCAUGGAACUGCUUUGGAAACUGUGCAGCUAGAGUGCAGGAGAGGUAAGCGGAAUUCCUAGUGUAGCGGUGAAAUGCGUAGAUAUUAGGAGGAACACCAGUGGCGAAGGCGGCUUACUGGACUGUAACUGACGUUGAGGCUCGAAAGCGUGGGGAGCAAACAGGAUUAGAUACCCCCGGUAGUC
rnacentral:rRNA from 1 species